UUGGUCAACAUCCUCUUGUUCACAUACUUUGCCAAAUACCAUAUGGCCGUCUCUUUUAUUCGUACCAUGUCACACCGAGACUGCACAUAACAGAAAUCCGUUAGGCGCAACGCAACACUUACACACAGAAACUCAUAUAAAGAAUGGAAUGCGAAGGGAGGAAUAAAAAGCAACGAGUGGCAUUCAUACGAAAUUCUAAGUAAAAGUGUAUUUCCAACUUCCCUUUAAUGUCGAUAUGAACUGGAAUAGGACGUUCAAUUCAGCUUGUACCUUGCCAGACGGUGGCUUGGAUAACCUGCAGGGUCUUAUCGCAGCCGACAUGCAUAAUUGCCUCGUGAACGUUGCAGACCAGAGAGAGAGUGUUUCCGUGCCUCUGAAUAUUUCUAUACAAGGGGCAAUUAUGUAACUUGAAGGAUUUAGCUACAUCAGUUUGAAAACCAGUUGUCGGAAAACUCUGUCAAGUUU